UACGUAGGGUGCGAGCGUUAAUCGGAAUUACUGGGCGUAAAGCGUGCGCAGGCGGUCUGUUAAGACAGAUGUGAAAUCCCCGGGCUUAACCUGGGAACUGCAUCCGAUACUGGAUGGCUUGAAUUCGGGAGAGGGAUGCAGAAUUCCAGGUGUAGCGGUGAAAUGCGUAGAUAUCUGGAGGAAUACCGGUGGCGAAGGCGGCAUCCUGGACCGACAUUGACGCUGAGGAGCGAAAGCUAGGGGAGCAAACGGG
rnacentral:rRNA from 1 species